CAGUAUUCCUGUCUGGAAAAUUCCAUGGACAGAGGAGCCUGCCCAGUAUCCAUGCCAUGUCUUCACCAUUGUUCAGCAGUCAUAAAGUUUGAAGAGAGUGGAAUUGAUCUCACUCCCAGCUUCAAGAGUGGGUGCACCACCGUGUAACAUGAUCAAAUAUGUUGUAGCUGAUGUGAAGAGUUCAAGUGCUGCAGCCCCUUUGCUACCAAGAACGGAGUCAAACAGUGGAGCUCACACUUGGGAUGACUGAACUGACAGAUGGUAGGAAAUUAGGUCCUUGGUGAUAUUGUUGAUCCACAGAAGCAAACCAAUUUCCAAGCCCACUCAUCCCCUGGAAUUUGCAUUACUGGAACCAAUAGAUCAUCUUUAUUGUUUAAGACUAUUGGAGUUGAGUUUUCUGUAACUUACAAAUAAA